UGGGGAAUUUUCCGCAAUGGGCGAGAGCCUGACGGAGCAACGCCGCGUGAGGGAGGACGGCCUGUGGGUUGUAAACCUCUUUUCUCAAGGAAGAAGCUCUGACGGUACUUGAGGAAUCAGCAUCGGCUAACUCCGUGCCAGCAGCCGCGGUAAGACGGAGGAUGCAAGCGUUAUCCGGAAUUAUUGGGCGUAAAGCGUCCGUAGGUGGUUAGGAAAGUCUGCUGUUAAAGGUCGCAGCUCAACUGCGGAUCGGCAGUGGAAACUGUUUAACUAGAAUGUGGAAGGGGUAGAGGGAAUUCCUAGUGUAGCGGUGAAAUGCGUAGAUAUUAGGAAGAACACCAGUGGCGAAGGCGCUCUACUGGGCCACAACUGACACUGAUGGACGAAAGCUAGGGGAGCGAAAGGGAUUAGAUACCCCUGUAGUCC
rnacentral:rRNA from 1 species